CAUGUAUGUGUGCAUGUAUGUGUGUACACAUGUAUACUUUCAUAUAUGCACGUGUGUGUGUGUG
rnacentral:miRNA from 1 species